AUUGCUUCUCGGCCUUUUGGCUAAGAUCAAGUGUAAAAUAAAAGUAGAAAACAUAAUGUGAUUGUGUGAUCUCUAUCAGUAUGUUACACUUCUUAUUUGACAACAUGUAUAAAGACAUUUUUUUGUGAAAUGGUGCUUUUUACAGUAGAGGCCUUCUUAUUCCAU
rnacentral:snRNA from 1 species